CCACUGUAGAUAAGUUUGAAAAACCGUAACAAAUAAUCGAUAGUCCUGACCGGGGAUAGCAAUUGAUCUGACCAAUGGGGCAUCAAAAUAGGAGGGUGAAAGGCGAUUCUUAUGUGCACCUCCUCGAAUCCGUUUCCAGAAACCAGUAUAUUGUCCAAACAACCCCUGGCUAGUUUUGAUGUUCUGACAGCAUUCUUAAUGACCGAUCGGAUACAAAAUGGCGUACAAAUGUAUCAGAUUUUAUCAAGACACUUUACACUAAUGUUAAUAAAAAUACAGUAAAUAAGAAGGUAUGUGGAACACGAGCAAGCGAAGGCUACGCACUACGUCGAGAGACUGAAGGAUAAGCUGCGAAUAUAUUUGGUACUCUAUUCUUAUAUAAAACAACCCUUCGGGCGAUCUGAGAGGGGUGAAAUUUUAAAUCUGAUGUAUAGAUAGGAGAAAGGGAGCUAAAAAAAUUGGAAGGGUGAACAGUUUUUGGUCCAGGUGUUACCAGCCACAGGGAGCUAAAGAGG
rnacentral:misc_RNA from 1 species